AGGGACAGUGUUACUGAAGAGGAGGUUGCCGCCAAGAGGACCAACCAUAGUGAUGAGGUCACUCAAAGCAUCCUCGACCAGUUGGCAUGGAGAUGUGAUAAAGAAUGGGGGGACAAGGCCAAUCCAUCAACCUCUCUGUUCAUUCCCUGUCGUAGGAGGGGAUAUAAAGAUCGCACUCUGUUACCCCCUGUCGUCCGUCACUCAUUAAGGCCGUCAAGUGAGGAUCCUGUACCGUCAACCCCUUUCUUCAUUCCCUUGUCUACAUUGGUGCGCAGAUUUUCUGUUUUUUCAUCCCCUGACCUCAGUCCUUCUUGUGAAAUGCCACAUGAAAUGCCUGCUAAACAGGAGCCCUCUGACAAGAGGACAAAGGACAGUGAUGCUGAAGAGGAGCCCCCUGCCCAGUGGACUAAGAUCGCUCUUCCUCCAAGGGGUGACCUUUUCGCCAAGUUCCGCCCUGGCGCAGAAGACCCUACCAAGAGGACCUGGGACGGUGUUACUGAAGAGGAAGUUGCCGCCAAGAGGACCAACCAUAGUGAUGAGGUCAUUCAAAGCAUCCUCGAACGGUUGACAUGGAGAUGUGAAAAAGAAUGGGGGGACAAGGCCCAUCCAUCAAGCUCUCUUUUGCAUCCCCGCUGUAGGAGGGAAUUUGAAGAACCCAUUCAGUUUUUCCCUUACCUCAGUCUCUCACCAAGGAUGUCGUGUGAGGAUCCUUUUCUCUCAUCCCCUGACUCCAGUCCCUCAUCAUUGACACACUGUGAAGAUCCCAUUUUGUCACCCUGUGUUUUCAGUCCCCCACCACAGAUGCCAUCUGAGAAUCCCAUUCUGUCACACACAGAAGAGGAACAAAUACCUUCAACAUCUGGCGGAAUUAUAGCAAGAGGGAGUUCCUGACAUGUGUGGUUCUAGUCAAGUGACUCUGAUUAGAUUGGGAUCUGUAAAGUCACAUUAGAACAUCAUCAGUUCUGUUGUUUCUUACUAAAGCCAAUGGCUUUCUAGCAGGCCUGUGGAAAACUUAGGUAGCGUCUUGCACUAUUUGUUUUCUUUAUUCCACUACUAGAUUUAUCAUUUUCAAUGUUAAGGAUUCUGGAAAAACUAAAGAAACCUUAGGUAGCGUCUUGCACCGGGUUUUCUUCAUCUUUGUCUUUUCCUCUCAACUUCCUCAUGUUUCAGGGUGUAAUAGUGGUUCUUCUCCACACAGUGCUCUCUGGCAUAGUAAAUUAUUGUAUCCUGUUCCUCCACUAAUCCAUUCUCCAAGUUUUUAAUCUUUCAGGUUUCAGCUGCUCAUCGCUGGAUCCUUUCGCCGUUGUUCAUGUGGUUCCUGUGCUUCUGGACCCCUUAUUUUUCACAUUGCUUGUUGGAUCUCCUCAUCCUGUAAUCCUCCACCUUCAGCACCACCAGUCAGAAGGAGGAAGAUAAGAGAACCCUGUUGACAAGAAAAGUAAGAAAACUUAUUUUUAUUUUAAAUAUGGAUAAAAUUGAGGUCAAAUUGUUCUUUCUUCAGUCCAAAUAUAUUCUGUUUAUUAACUCUGUUGUCUUUUCUCUUUAUUUCAUUUCUACGUCAACUCAUGUCACAUGACAUGAGUUGACCAACAAUGACAGCAGAAGAUCAGCUCCUCCUGUAAUCCUCCACCUUCAGCACCACCAGUCAGAAGGAGGAAGAUAAGAGAACCCUGUUGACAAGAAAAGUAAGAAAACUUAUUUUUAUUUUAAAUAUGGAUAAAAUUGAGGUCAAAUUGUUCUUUCUUCAGUCCAAAUAUAUUCUGUUUAUUAACUCUGUUGUCUUUUCUCUUUAUUUCAUUUCUACGUCAACUCAUGUCACAUGACAUGAGUUGACCAACAAUGACAGCAGAAGAUCAGCUCCUCCUGUAAUCCUCCACCUUCAGCACCACCAGUCAGAUGGAGGAAGAUAAGAGAACCCUGUUGACAAAAAAAAUUCUGUUUGUUAACCUUGUUGUCUGAUCCUGUGAAGAUUCUCCAGCAUCACUCAGACAAAACAACAACAGUGGACCAAUCAGGAGAGAGAAGACACAGAGGACUGAGGACUAAAACAAACAUACAAAGCCUCCCAAGAAAAAGCAGACGAUCCACUGGGCCCAGGUUUACACACCAUCUGUUGAUCAGCAUUUGGGAGCUUUUACUUUGGAAAUUCCCAUGCAGAUGCCAGGCUGCCUGUAGCCACUUCCUGUGAAUCCAUUAAAGUAAUAUUGAGCCUUUUUUGGGUGAAAUUAGCUUUAAAAAACCUAUGAGUACGUUUUCCCACCUAAGAAAAAUGGAGCAGAAGAAGAAGGAAUGAAUGACUGUUACAUAACAAGUGAAUGUAACAUGUACUAGAGAUUCUGAUGGAGAAGUGAAAUAAAAAGCAUCAGUGGAAGCAGGUCAACCAAUGACGGUCAAACUCACUCCCCCAUCCGCCUCACCCCUCCUCCCAUCUGACAGACGCCAAACUCUCUCUCAUCGCUACAGAACGUCCUCACCAGGUCAGCCCGUCUUACUGCGGGCUUCACACGCUGCAUCGGGGGAAGCUACUCCAGCUGCUCAGUUCAGAUUCAGGGUGUGAAGCUGGGCGAUGCGGGCCAGUAUCACUUCAGGUUUGAGACAAACCAACCGCUGGGGAGAUGGACCUCACCUGGGGUCUUGUGGUUUUUUCUUUUGUGGUUCACUAUCCAUCCACCAGAGAGCGCCAGAGGCUGCUCCUCCUGGCAGGGCGAGCCGGUCUCCUAGCACCUGUUUCUCAUCUUCUCAUCAUCCCUGCAGCUCAAGAGGAGCUGACUGCCAGUUCUCUGACGCCUGAGUGUUUGCCAGUAAUGGUGAAUUCAUCAAGAUGCCCAAGUUUCCUCCAUGAGAAGUUUUUUUUUUCCUCUGAUUUUCUGGAACCUACAUCCUUGUGAUGCCAUGGAAGUUACCCACUGGUUGUCCGAGCUCCUUCCCUGUUCCUUCAGUUGGACCAAGCCGUUUUCUGGAAACCCUGAUGGGCAGUCGGACCGCUCCUCUGUCUCCAGCCACCAGAAUUUACCUGUCCGCCCUCCAUCGCAGCCUCCUCCGCUCCUUCCAGAUCAGCUCAUCCGAGCCUACUUCAAAGAAGACCCCUCUGUCAGAUCUGAACCCAACCCACCAUGAUCCCCUCCCGAGCCAGAACCACCAGCUCCACAAUGUGCCGCCUUCUCCGAGAGCCGUUCCAUCAUAUCUGAAUCUUCAAUAAAGUAUCUUUACUGAUUAUCUGUUCUGCAUGUGGGCAAAAAGACUAGAAUCCAACCUGACAGCAUUUCUCUGGAUGUAGCAGCUCGACUCUCCUGUCAAAACAUCAUUGACUCUGCAAGGUUUCUGGUGCCUGGCUGGAGACGAGAUUCUGACGAUUCAAGAAUCAAAACAAAAUAUCAGAGUAAAUAGUUAGAAGGCAGAUUUGUUUUCUCUUCAUUAUUGUUUUCAUUAUUAAUGGUUCAUGACACAAAAUUCCUAAGUGCUGUAACUAUGAGUUCAAUAAAAUGGUCUUCUUUCAA